rnacentral:rRNA from 1 species
GGAAAGGCCCAGCUUGCUGGGUGCUCGAGUGGCGAACGGGUGAGUAACACGUGGGUGAUCUGCCCCUGACUUUGGGAUAAGCCUGGGAAACUGGGUCUAAUACCGGAUAUGACCUUUUGUUGCAUGACUUUUGGUGGAAAGCCUUGUGCGGUUGGGGAUGGGCCCGCGGCCUAUCAGCUUGUUGGUGGGGUAAUGGCCUACCAAGGCGACGACGGGUAGCCGACCUGAGAGGGUGAUCGGCCACACUGGGACUGAGACACGGCCCAGACUCCUACGGGAGGCAGCAGUGGGGAAUAUUGCACAAUGGGCGCAAGCCUGAUGCAGCGACGCCGCGUGAGGGAUGACGGCCUUCGGGUUGUAAACCUCUUUCACCAGGGACGAAGCGCAUGUGACGGUACCUGGAGAAGAAGCACCGGCCAACUACGUGCCAGCAGCCGCGGUAAUACGUAGGGUGCGAGCGUUGUCCGGAAUUACUGGGCGUAAAGAGCUCGUAGGCGGUUUGUCGCGUCGUCUGUGAAAUUCUGCAGCUUAACUGCAGGCGUGCAGGCGAUACGGGCAGACUUGAGUACUACAGGGGAGACUGGAAUUCCUGGUGUAGCGGUGAAAUGCGCAGAUAUCAGGAGGAACACCGGUGGCGAAGGCGGGUCUCUGGGUAGUAACUGACGCUGAGGAGCGAAAGCGUGGGUAGCGAACAGGAUUAGAUACCCUGGUAGUCCACGCCGUAAACGGUGGGUACUAGGUG